GGACGUGAAAACGCUUGGCCUCUACGUACAGCAGACUGGCAUCAGAUAGAUCUCACCCCAUCCAUAGCAAUUUUAUGGUUAUUCAUGUGCCAUAACAUCGAGCCUAUAUCCCACAGAACAACAUUUACAAAUCUAAGGGCCGGAUUCAUAUACCAUUUGGUUAGAGGGAACAAGAUUGAUCUAGCCACGUACAUCUACAAUCAAAUUCAUGGUACAGGCACUUGGGG
rnacentral:lncRNA from 1 species